AGAGUUUGAUCCUGGCUCAGGACGAACGCUGGCGGCGUGCUUAACACAUGCAAGUCGAACGGAGUCUUAAAGGAAGCUUGCGAAUUUAAGACUUAGUGGCGGACGGGUGAGUAACGCGUGGAUAACCUGCCCACAAGCCUGGGAUAACGCCGGGAAACUGGUGCUAAUACCGGAUAAGUUCUUCGGGGCACAUGCCCUGGAGAAGAAAGGGGAAACCCGCUUAUGGAUGGAUCCGCGUCCCAUUAGCUAGUUGGUGGGGUAACGGCCUACCAAGGCGACGAUGGGUAGCCGGCCUGAGAGGGUGGCCGGCCACACUGGGACUGAGACACGGCCCAGACUCCUACGGGAGGCAGUAGUGGGGAAUCUUCCGCAAUGGGCGAAAGCCUGACGGAGCAACGCCGCGUGAGUGACGAAGGCCCUUGGGUCGUAAAACUCUGUCUUCAGGGA
rnacentral:rRNA from 1 species